AAUUGGAGGGCAAGUCUGGUGCCAGCAGCCGCGGUAAUUCCAGCUCCAAUAGCGUAUAUUAAAGUUGUUGCAGUUAAAAAGCUCGUAGUUGAAUUUCGGGGUUAGUAGGCUGGUCAUGCCUCCGGUAUGUACUGGUCUUACUGACUUCUCCUUUCUGAAGAACUGUAAUGCCAUUAAUUUGGUGUUGCAGGGAAUCAGGACUGUUACUUUGAAAAAAUUAGAGUGUUUAAAGCAGGCUAACGCUUGAAUACAUUAGCAUGGAAUAAUGAAAUAGGACGUUCGAUCCUAUUUUGUUGGUUUCUAGGAUUGACGUAAUGAUUAAUAGGGAUAGUUGGGGGCAUUAGUAUUCAAUUGUCAGAGGUGAAAUUCUUGGAUUUAUUGAAGACUAACUACUGCGAAAGCAUUUGCCAAGGAUGUUUUCAUUAAUCAAGAACGAAAGUUAGGGGAUCGAAGACGAUCAGAUACCGUCGUAGUCUUAACCAUAAACUAUGCCGACUAGGGAUUGGAUGAUGUUAAUUUUUUAAUGACUCAUUCGGCGCCUUACGGGAAACCAAAGUGU
rnacentral:rRNA from 1 species